GUUCGAACUGAGGCAUUUAGGUUUGAAUAACCUUUGGGUGUAAGUUGCUAUUACAAAAGCCAAAAGGAAGCGAGCAUAUAUCAUGGAGCCCUACAAGAACAAGUUAUUGGCAACUUCAACGUCUCAAGCUGAAGGAGUUUGUGCUGAGAGUUUAAUAGACAGAUUUAGUAAUCUUCCAGAAGGAGUUGCUCACCACAUUCUCUCCUUCCUCGCUCAAAUAGACCUCGCUCGAGUGAGCUGUGUGUCCAAAAGUUGCAGAAAGUUUUAUCUCUCAUUUCCCUCGUUGAACUUUGAUGCAAUGCCCUGCGCAAACGACAUGUGGGAGAGGUUAAAGUUGUUGAAUUAUUUGGACAGGUUCAUGAUCCAACGAGGGGACAAUAAGAUCCAACACUUGUAUUUUUUGGAUCUUUUUAGGUCCAGCUUCAAGCUUCUCUAACGAGUAUUUUCGAGUCAUCUCUUGGAUCCAUGUUGCUGCAAGGUGCAAUGUCGAAGUGCUUGAUCUGGAACUCUACAUGAUACCUGAUACGACGAUGCUAGAGUUGCCAUCUUGCAUCUUUCUUUGUGGAUCAUUGAGGUCUCUAUCAGUGCACUGCAAUAAAAUUCUUACAGCGCCCUCCUUGGUUAGUUCCACUAAUCUCCAGUACUUAAAGUUGACAAAUGUUACAAUAGAUGAGGGGUUUUGCAAAUGGAUCUCGUGUUCUUGCAAAUGCAUUAAGGAAUUGCAUCUUGAACAUGUUGAAGUAGAAAAUAUCACCAUGGAAAGCUCGUCGUUGGAAUCUUUUAGUUUUGUGUUUCCCUCUUAUUGUGGCCUCUGUCAUCUUAAUAUCUCUUGUGAGAAACUUGAAGACAUGCAUAUAGAGUGGAAAUUUGCUUCAACUAGCAGCAGAUCCUUCAAAGUUUUUGCUCCAAAUCUUAAAUAUUUGAAAUGGAUUGGGAAUUUGUUGAAUAACCAAAAUCUGGGGAAACUAAUGUGUUUAGAGAAGGCUGAGAUUUUUCUGAAGCAUGGGGUAGAUAACAAUGACUUCAGCAAUGUACUUGAGGUUCUUUGCAGUGUAUGCAGGGCUAAAGUCCUUAUUCUAAGUGGAGAGAUGACCAAGGCUCUGUUGAGGGAGGGUCCUGUGUCUACACUGUUUGAUGAUAUUUCUUACCUGGGUAUGCAUAUUGAGAGCUUGGAUGAUGACAUAGUCCCGGCAAUGGUCUCUCUUCUGAGAGGAAUGCCCAAUUUGAAAACUUUGUACAUAAAGUCUGACCCUUCCUUAUUCAUCCAUAAACCUGAAGCGUGUGGAUUUAGUAAGGAAUUCUGGAAAUCUCAAAACUUGGCUUUUAUUGAUCAGCUUAAGGAGGCAACAAUAGAGCUUUCUAAUGGGAACAAUGAACUGGAGCUAGCAAGGUAUAUGCUUGAGGAUGCUAAGAACUUGAAGGAAAUGGUUUUAGUUUAUUCACCCCAGCAAUCAACUCAUAUUCGAGUGGUAAAUGAAAGUAAGAUGAAUUCUGUUGCCACUGCCAGAGUUGUCUUUCAGGAAAAACAAAGGAAAUGAAAAGGGGGGAAAAAUGAAGGUUGAAGAUUUUUUUGUGUUAUAACUUCAAAACCUUAUUCUGGAUGUCAAUGGAUGCAACCGCUGUGUUUAUCUGUUAUGAUAGAACCCUAAUAUUGUAAUAAUGUAGUUUAUAAUGCUGUUAGCAAGACUUGUCAAUGGCCUAGAGAUGUUUUUGUGUUUUGUGUAUUAUAGCAA